GAUGAACGCGGCGGUGUGCCUAAUACAUGCAAGUCGUACGCAGAUGUGGCCCAAUUGAUUGAUGGUGCUUGCACCUGAUUGAUUUUGGUCGCCAACGAGUGGCGGACGGGUGAGUAACACGUAGGUAACCUGCCCAGAAGCGGGGGACAACAUUUGGAAACAGAUGCUAAUACCGCAUAACAACGUUGUUCGCAUGAACAACGCUUAAAAGAUGGCUUCUCGCUAUCACUUCUGGAUGGACCUGCGGUGCAUUAGCUUGUUGGUGGGGUAACGGCCUACCAAGGCGAUGAUGCAUAGCCGAGUUGAGAGACUG
rnacentral:rRNA from 2 species